rnacentral:lncRNA from 1 species
UUAUAUAUGUCUGUGAAGAUGCCAGACGCCCUGGAAUUGGAGCUGCAGAUAGCUGUGAGCCACCAUGUAGGGACUGGGAAUUGAACCAGGGUCCUCUGGAGGAACAACAGUGCUCUUAACCUCUGCGCCAUCUUCAGCCCUGAUAGUGUUACUUCUUUGGACUACUCUGUUUAGAGCCACCUCAGGUGCUGAGGGCCAGCCGCCAUCAGCUUGAGGGGGUGAAUCCGGCAAAUGACAUGAAGGUUCUUCACGGCAGAAUCACUGCAGGGAAGCUUCAAAGGACUCCAUCUGCAGAUGUUCUGAAAAUCUCUGAGUCUAGAAAUUGAUUAUUCAACCAGGAUACCUAACUCAAGAAACUCUGAAGACUGAGGCAUUUUGUCAGCUUC